rnacentral:rRNA from 1 species
AUGCAGGCAUCCAAAGGUUCGACUAGGUGGCUAGGAACUCAGCUGGGCUCACUUCCAUUUGCAUUCUUUUCUGCAACAUCAGAUACUCAUGCAUGUUUGUUUUCUGAUAUGGUUUUUCUCAUAAUGCAGGGCACAAAGAUAGGUCUCCUUUUAGUUACCAUAUAUGUUAGUUUUUUCUGCUUACUGUAUUCUCCACUUUCUUGUCAGAUUAAGCAACAAACAAAUGAAUCUGUGCACAGUUAUACCAUUUUUGCACUCAUUUAUGGGGCCAUCUAUGUUGAGUAUGUGUGUUCUGCUGUUCUGCAACUUAAGUCAAUAGGUAGUGAGAAGAUGCGACAGUUUGAACCUCCUCCACUUCUUCUGUACAAGAUUGGUCAUUUUCCAAAGGGAUGGAAGUAG